UACGGAGGAAUUGUUACAAGAUAUAUAGAAAAGCUAUGCUGUCCCCAUUAUGAAAAUAUCAGUGGCCAAUGCAUAGCAUGCAAGAACGAAUUUAUAUCAGAAAAUGGUUUACCCUGUACUCAAUGUGAUAGUGGAUUUUAUGGAUUUCGUUGUAUAAGUAAAUGCAACUGUGAUUUUGAAAGGUGUGACUACAUAGACGGAUGUAUGUUUGAUUACAACACAG